AAUGAUAAUAACAUAUUACAGAACUAAUCCAGCAGUCAAGAAACCCAGGCGUGGAGAUUGAUCCUCCGGGAGAAAGGGGUUCGUCAUGGCGGAUGACCUGAAGCAUUUCCUGUAUAAGAAGUUACCAAGUGGCCAAUGAUAAUGCUCCAGAACAUGCUUUGAGACCUGGUUUCUUAUCUACUUUUGCCCUUGCUACUGACCAAGGUAGUAAACUUGGGCUUUCAAAAAAUAAAAGCAUUAUAUGUUACUAUAACUCUUACCAGGUGGUUCAGUUCAAUCGUUUACCUUUGGUGGUGAGUUUCAUAGCCAGCAGCAAUGCCAAUACAGGACUAAUUGUCAGCCUAGAAAAGGAACUUGCUCCAUUAUUUGAAGAAUUGAUAAAAGUUGUGGAAAUUUCUUAAUGGAAAAAUGAUUUCUGAUGUGUAUAAGGUCUUUAUUGUAACAAUACAAUAUCAAUCCAGCAAUCUUUAGAACACAAUAAUACUUUUAUCUAUGUACUCGAAAAGGCCCCUUUUCCCUCACCUUAUACUAAAGAAAGAGCCUAUAAUGUAUAGACAGAUCAAUUGUUAUAUUUACUUGCAUAAGGUCUUUUCUUAUUUAGUGAGAUCUGGGGAUACCACAGAAAUGGUUCAGUCUAUCACAGCUCCCAUAGAGUUUGUCCAGUCACCAGAUAUAAAUGAGAUUCUAUUCAGUGGAUCGGAAUCAAAAUGGUACAUUGAUCCACUUGAGCCAUUAUGUGCUCCCUAUUGUACAAUACUCCCAGGCCUGCAGGAAUGCAGCAGACCCUUUUUAUUGUGAAUAAUAAUGACAUAUUUUUCUUUAUAUUGUUUUAUUUCUUUACAUUGAUGUGAGGAAGACAAAGUAGCUUAGUAAAAGUAAUAAAAUCAGUACAAUCACUAACGUUCAUUUGGAUAUAUUAUUUUGUAGUAUAGAUGAAGAUUACUAAUUUCAUUCUUCUCAGAGGGUGCUGCUCUUUAAUGAAAAGAAAAAUUAUAGCUUAUGGUGUUUUUUUCCUACUUUGCUUUCUAUAACCAAUCAGUGUUUUAAUGUUUGUGUAUCUUAUAAAAUUCAAAUGUGAUUUGUUAUUGAAUUCUGUUU
rnacentral:lncRNA from 1 species